GGAUAAAAGAAAACGUCGCAAAAUUGUUUGUAAUUAUCUUGUGCUCUAUUAUUUUGUGUUUUUAUAUUCUGUACAAUAUUC
rnacentral:ribozyme from 15 species